UACGGAGGGUGCUAACGUUGUCCGGAUUUACUGGGCGUAAAGCGCAUGUAGGUGGUUUGGCAAGUCAAUGAUUAAAGACCAACGCUCAACGUUGGACCGGUUGUUGAAACUGCCUGACUAGAGGGUAGCAGGGGUAAGCGGAACUUUUGAGUGUAGGAGUGAAAUCCGUAGAUAUUCAAAGGAACACCAAUGGCGAAGGCAGCUUACUGGGACGUUACUGACGCUAAGGCGCGAAAGCGUGGGGAGCGAACAGG
rnacentral:rRNA from 1 species